UUCAAGAAUUCGUUCAAUUAAGGUAUGUGGGGUGUUCAUCCAUAGGACCCUUUCACUCAUGGAGCCCAAAAACCUUCUUUUAAUUAAAUUAUGGAGUUUUCCUUUACUAUGGACUUUCAUAUGUUCAAUAUGGGUUAAAUUCAUGUGUUCCCUGGUAAUUUUAACUCAAUUCAUGUCUAUGUAUGAUCCCAUGAAAAGUUAGGUU
rnacentral:lncRNA from 1 species